GUCUCCUCAAUUUCAGAGGCCAGAUUUUCGCACAUCCAGCGUCACUGUCCAUCAACAUCUCUCAUUUGAUGGAGUGAGGAAUUCUCUCUCAGAUCUGAAAAAGAGACUCGAGGAAUUCUGUGAGGAGGAAUUCAACAAAAUCCCUCCACAUGCUGCAGCAGUUCAGAUCAUUUCAGAACCAGAACCACAGAGCAGAGAAGAGUUUCUGAAAUAUUUCUGUUAUCUGACUCUGGAUCCCAACACGAUACAUCGUCUCCUCAUUCUGUCUGAGAAGAACAGAGUGGUGAGAUGGAGUGAGAGAGAGCAGCGUUACUCUGAUCAUCCAGAGAGAUUUGAUUCCUGGUGGCAGGUGUUGUGUAAGGAGAGUGUGUGUGGACGCUGUUACUGGGAGGUGGAGUGGAGCCCUGCUGGUGUGUCAA